AUUGAACGCUGGCGGCAGGCCUAACACAUGCAAGUCGAACGAGUGGCGGACGGGUGAGUAAUGUCUGGGAAACUGCCUGAUGGAGGGGGAUAACUACUGGAAACGGUCGCUACUACCGCAUACCAUCGGAUGUGCCCAGUUGGGAUUAGCUAGUAGGUGGGGUAAAGGCGCACCUAGGCGACGAUCCCUAGCUGGUCUGCGAGGAUGACCAGCCACGCUGGAACUGAGACACGGACCAGACUCCUAGGGGAGGCAGCAGUGGGGAAUAUUGCACAAUGGGCGCAAGCCUGAUGCAGCCAUGCAGCGUGUAUGAAGAAGGCCUUCGGGUUGUAAAGUACUGUCAGCGGGGAGGCGUUACCCGCAGAAGAAGCACCGGCUAACUCCGUGCCAGCAGCCGCGGUAAUUC
rnacentral:rRNA from 1 species